rnacentral:pre_miRNA from 1 species
CUAGUACUCCCUCCGUCCGAAAAUACUUGUCAUCAAAAUGGAUAAAAAUGGAUGUAUCUAAAACUAAAAGACGUCUAGAUACAUCUCCUUUUAUCCAUUUUGAUGACAAGUAUUUUCAGACGAAGGGAGUACAUC